AGACAAACUUGUAGGUGUCCCCUGUGCCCAUGGAUUAAACAGGACUGGCUACCUCAUUGGCAGAACGUUUUCACAGAAUCCAGAUCUUUACCAGAGAGGCCAUAUCCCUCCUCCUGGUCCCCCUGGAGAAGGUUAUUCACACAGGAGGUACACUUGGAAUGUGAAGCCAAGUGCCAGUCGAGCAGCCCAGGAGAGAAGAAGGUGAUAUCCUGACAAUUACUCUGGACUAUCCUGUCCAGCCUAUUGGCAAUGGACCCAGUGAUACAAAGCUGUCCUGGAAUUCCACUUGGAGACCAGAGCUGACCUGAAGAUUACAGGACUUGGAGAAUUCUGAAGUUUGUGCCAGACAAAAUAUCUGGCUUGGAGAUUGCAAUCCCAGGGAAGUAUCCAUCCCCAGGGAAGU